GAUUGCAGGCUAAUUUUUGUAUUUUUAGUAGAGGCAGGGUUUCAUCAUGUUGGUCAGGCUGGUCGCCAACUCCUGAUCUCAUGAUCUCAUGAUCCACCCGCCUCGGCCUCCCAAAGUGCUGGGAUUACAGGUGUGAGCUACCACACCUGGCCAAGGGAAUUCGGUCAUUUUUAGUGAGGAAGAAUGAGAGCAGCUUGACAGAACCAAGCUGCACAUUGGAAAGUAGUGGGAGACAUUGGACUGAAUGAGAUGGGAAUCCAGCUACCAAGGACAAGGACAGCCCCUCAAGAAUUUUGACUUGACUUUGAGAUCUCAAGUGAGAAAAACCACACAAAGGUAACUCUGCUGGCAUUUUACACAAUGAUUACGCACAUUUUUCUAAUAACUUGCUGGAAAUAGAAUGAGCAUUGCAGCACCAUCGGACAGGUGCCUUACUCAUUGGAGAUGUCUGGACAGUGCUGUGAUCAUCCUCGCCAGCUGCAGCAAUAGCACCCUGGGUCCUGCAGCCAGAAAGAAGGAUCUGAUCAUCACCUCGUCCUCAUGCUGUGCUGAGGAGCCUUGGUGCACAACUAUUGGCUCGUUUUGGGCAGGACAGGUUGAAGAACCCCCACCUCAACCCCCAUGUGGGGGCAUAAUGAUCUUGUGGCAGAGAAAAAAGGGUUAAGGCCAAACCACCCAACAGCUCUUCAAGCUUCUUCUCACAUUUCCUCAGCCACAGUAAGUCAAAUACCCACCCCUGACAUAAGUAGGGCAGAAAAGUAUAACCCUCAGUUAGGGAUGCACUGCAAGCCACAUGGCUGGAGACAGGGAUAUAUCAUCUUCUUACAAGGGAAGGCAGAAAACAAGUAGGAACAGUAAUACAAUCUACCCUUUCACUAUAUGCUCACUCUCUCACAUAUCUUGUACAAAGUAGAUGCUCAAUAAAUGAUUUGAACUAAUAUGUGAAUGACUUAAGGUUGACCAUGACCUCACAAAUGUAGAUUGAUUCAUCUUCUCUGGUGCAGAGUUUUAUCCCUUGGUAUGUUACUCAGUAACUUUCCCUUUUCUUCCAUAAAUGUCCUACUAAGAACGAAUCUCACAAGCAUAAUGUUAAGCAAAGGAAGCCACAUGCAAAAAAGUACUUACUAACAGAGGAGUGGAUAAAGAAAUUGUGAUGUGUCCAAACAACAGAAUGCUAAAGAGCGAUAAAAAAAAAAAAAAACUACUGAUACACAAAAUAGCAUGGGUACAUCUCAAAAUAAUUAUAGGGAGUGAAAGACCAAAAAAAGAGUACAUUCCUUAUGAUUCCACUUCCAUCAAAUUCUAGAAAAUGCAAACUGAUUUAUGGUGACAGAAGCAGAUCAGUGGUGGCCUGGGGAGAGUAGAGGAGGGGCAGGGAGAGGGUAGAUAAGGAAACUUUGGGAGUGAUGGAUAUGUUCAUUAUCUUGAUUGUGGUGAUGGUUUCAUGGGUGUAUUCAUAUGUCAAAACUCAUCAAAUUGUAUCCUCUAAAUAUAUGGAAUGUAUUGUAC
rnacentral:lncRNA from 10 species